AAAGGGACAAGGAGCACUUACAGAAGUGUCCCUCAGCCCUAGAUGUACCCCCAGACCAGCAGCCUCAGCAUCACUGGGGAGCCUGUUAGAAAUGCAGGCUCGCAGGCCCCGCCCCACACCUACUGAAUCGAAACCUGCAUUUUAACAAGAUCCCAGGUGAUUUCAGUGCCUAUUAAAGUUUGAGAAGCCUGGGUCUGGGUCCGUGGUCCGCCCUCCGCAGCCCUGGCUGAACACUGGAAUCACCUGGGGAACUUUGCAAACGCACACUCGUGGUUCAGACUUUAGGGGGCUGGGGGCAACCUAGGCAUCAGAGGGGUUUGCUUCUGUUUUGUUUCGCGGUUUAGCUCCCCAGGUGAUUCUAAGGGGCAGCAACCUCUGAGACGCCUGUCAGGAAGAAGGGACAGGCUGAAGGCUGUGGAGGUAGAAGCCACCAGCGACUUGCCGCCCCCUCCCAAAGCACAGCGACGCAGUCGGGGGUGGGAGGCCGGGGAGACCCGGUGCCGGGGCAGUGCCCAGCCGGGUCUCCUUCCCGCCGGUGCGUGCGGCUGGGCAGAGACCGGCUGCCGAAGGACGAGGGCUGGGAGCCUCCUUCUCAAGAACCCCGACUGUCUGGACGCUGGGAGGCCGCUUCGGAUUGGGCCCACUGUCCUGUCCCAAAGGAGAUGCCUGCCAAAAGGAAGUAGAAGGCUCAAGUCAAGAGAAGACACAGGACUGAUUCAAGGCUGUGGGAGUUCUUGAGCUUUCUCCAUGGGCUCCCAUUUCAGAUGUGAGGGUUAGUGCAAACUCCCAUGGAUGAGCCUGCUGCAGAAUUUUAUAAAAAAUUCUCAAAUCUUCCUGGCCUCAAAUCUUCCUCCGUGAGUGGAUUUGGUGAUUUGGAAAUAAUGGAAGUCAUUUGGAAGUAAAUCUGGUGACCAAGGUCCUCGCUCCUGGCCCUGCCUGCGGCCCCCUUCCACUGCCCGCUGGGUCAGCGGGGUCCCUGGGAACUACCACGUCCCGCAAACCUUGCUUCAGGAGAAAACAGGUAAUGAAUGAUCUUUAGGUUUUAAAUCACUGCAACAUCAAGUCUUCAAUUGGACGCAUGAUUUGGAUGGAAAAAUCUGAUCUACGAGAAACGAGUCAGUACGGUCCAACCUCCGCUCUUUGCCUCUCUUCGUGUUACGGUUUCCAGGAUCACCCGAACCCUCGGGCUGCCGUCUCCUCUCGGGAGUUGUAGGCUUUCUGAAAGCGGCGGCCUCUCCUUCCAGGCCUCACCUCCCGCCAGCUCCGCCCCGCCCGACCCACCUCACCCCCGCUUGGCGCCCCCAUUGUCCCCUCGCAGCUGUCACAGCGCGCACAUCCCGAGGCCCCGAUUGGAAAACCUUCCCGUCACUCAGCCCACACUCCGGGGCCGGACGCCUCACUCCCUAUUCCGAGCCUUAAAAGGGCUAAGGCCGCUUUCCGCGAGCCAGCAGGUAGAGCCCCGGCGGCGGAAGGGAGGAAGGGAGGGGCUGCGCGCUCAGGUUGGCCCCGCCUGGCGACGGGGUGC